AACCAAGAAACUAGUUACUGUUUUUCUUUAAGCCAGGCUGCCCAGCUCCACGGAAGAGUUUGAGACCUUCUCUCCCUUGGGUGCCCCACGCCAAUGGCUCCCCAUCCCUCUCCAGCCUCAAGUCCAAAGUGGGGAUGACAUGCCAUCUCUUAGGUACAUUGAGAAUCAGCGUCCUGGGCUGUGGCACCUCUUAUUUGCAGGAGGAAACACACACACGCUUCCCGUGAGCCAUCAUGAUUCUGAGGUGUACGGAAACAUUAACCUUCUCGUUCAUAUCUCUCCCAUCUCCCAAGGUGUGCAGCUCCU
rnacentral:lncRNA from 1 species